rnacentral:tRNA from 1 species
UCCGCAUUGGUGUAAUGGUAACAUCGCCGGUUUUCACCCGGCAGCUCGGGGUUCAAUUCCCCGAUGCGGAG